UACGGGGGGGGCGAAGCGUUGUUCGGAAUUACUGGGCGUAAAGGGUGUGUAGGUGGCGCCGUAAGUCGGGUGUGAAAUUUCGGAGCUUAACUCCGAAACUGCAUUCGAUACUGCGGUGCUUGAGGACUGGAGAGGAGACUGGAAUUCAUGGUGUAGCAGUGAAAUGCGUAGAGAUCAUGAGGAAGACCAGUGGCGAAGGCGGGUCUCUGGACAGUUCCUGACACUGAGACACGAAGGCCAGGGGAGCAAACGGGG
rnacentral:rRNA from 1 species